rnacentral:rRNA from 1 species
AGCGAACGCUGGCGGCAGGCCUAACACAUGCAAGUCGAACGAACCUUUCGGGGUUAGUGGCGGACGGGUGAGUAACACGUGGGAACGUGCCUUUAGGUUCGGAAUAACUCAGGGAAACUUGUGCUAAUACCGAAUGUGCCCUUCGGGGGAAAGAUUUAUCGCCUUUAGAGCGGCCCGCGUCUGAUUAGCUAGUUGGUUGAGGUAAUGGCUCACCAAGGCGACGAUCAGUAGCUGGUCUGAGAGGAUGAUCAGCCACAUUGGGACUGAGACACGGCCCAAACUCCUACGGGAAGCAGCAGUGGGGAAUCUUGCGCAAUGGGCGAAAGCCUGACGCAGCCAUGCCGCGUGAAUGAUGAAGGUCUUAGGAUUGUAAAAUUCUUUCACCGGGGACGAUAAUGACGGUAACCGGAGAAGAAGCCCCGGCUAACUUCGUG